GGCAGUUUUAUAAGUCAGAUGUGAAAUCCCCGAGCUCAACUUGGGAACUGCGUUUGAAACUGUAAGACUAGAGUGUGUCAGAGGGGGGUAGAAUUCCAAGUGUAGCAGUGAAAUGCGUAGAGAUUUGGAGGAAUACCAAUGGCGAAGGCAGCCCCCUGGGAUAACACUGACGCUCAUGCACGAAAGCGUGGUGAGCAAACAGGAUUAGAUACCCUGGUAGUCCACGCCCUAAACGAUGUCUACUAGUUGUUGGUGGAGUAAAAUCCAUGAGUAACGCAGCUAACGCGUGAAGUAUACCGCCUGGGGAGUACGGUCGCAAGAUUAAAACUCAAAUGAAUUGACGGGGGCCCGCACAAGCGGUGGAUUAUGUGGAUUAAUUCGAUGCAACGCGAAAAACCUUACCUGGCCUUGACAUGUACCGAAUUUAGCAGAGAUGCUUUAGUGCUCGAAAGAGAACGGUAACACAGGUGCUGCAUGGCUGUCGUCAGCUCGUGUCGUGAGAUGUUGGGUUAAGUCCCGCAACGAGCGCAACCCUUGCCAUUAAUUGCCAUCAUUUAGUUGGGCACUUUAAUGGGACUGCCGGUGACAAACCGGAGGAAGGUGGGGAUGACGUCAAGUCCUCAUGGCCCUUAUGGCCAGGGCUUCACACGUAAUACAAUGGUCGGUACAGAGGGAAGCCAACCCGCGAGGGGGAGCCAAUCUCAGAAAGCCGGUCGUAGUCCGGAUUGUUGUCUGCAACUCGACAGCAUGAAGUCGGAAUCGCUAGUAAUCGCGGAUCAGCAUGUCGCGGUGAAUACGUUCCCGGGCCUUGUACACACCGCCCGUCACACCAUGGGAGUGGGUUUUACCAGAAGUAGUUAGUCUAUCCGCAAGGGGGACGAUUACCACGGUAGGAUUCAUGACUGGGGUGAAGUCGUAACAAGGUAGCCG
rnacentral:rRNA from 1 species